AGCAGUAUGGUGUAAUGCUGCACGCCGGGUUUCUCUAGUCCCAUACAUCGGCAGUUAUUCAACCCGGAAGUCCUUGUUCGAAUCAAGGUGCUGCUC